rnacentral:misc_RNA from 1 species
UAAAGAACUAGCUCUUUAGAACCUG